rnacentral:rRNA from 1 species
CCUACGGGAGGCAGCAGUGGGGAAUAUUGCACAAUGGGGGAAACCCUGAUGCAGCGACGCCGCGUGAGUGAAGAAGUAUUUCGGUAUGUAAAGCUCUAUCAGCAGGGAAGAAAAUGACGGCACCUGAUUAAGAAGCCCCGGCUAACUACGUGUCAGCAGCCGCGGUAAUACGUAGGGGGCAAGCGUUAUCCGGAUUUACUGGGUGUAAAGGGAGCGUAGACGGCAGCACAAGUCUGGAGUGAAAUGCCGGGGCUUAACCCCGGGACUGCUUUGGAAACUGGGCAGCUUGAGUGCAGGAGAGGUAAGCGGAAUUCCUAGUGUAGCGGUGAAAUGCGUAGAUAUUAGGAGGAACACCAGUGGCGAAGGCGGCUUACUGGACUGUAACUGACGUUGAGGCUCGAAAGCGUGGGGAGCAAACAGGAUUAGAUACCCGGGUAGUC